UUUUGAUUGGUUUUUGUUCUUUUUUUUCUUUUUUUUUUCUUUCAUCUCAAUUUCCAUUUCCUGUUCCAUUUUUUCCUUCUCUUUCAAAAAACAUGAAUAGAUUUCAAAAUAAUAGGGUUUGUCAAACAAAAGACAAGCCAAACCCAAGCACUUC
rnacentral:ribozyme from 13 species